CCUACGGGGGGCAGCAGUGGGGAAUAUUGCACAAUGGGGGAAACCCUGAUGCAGCGACGCCGCGUGAGCGAUGAAGUAUUUCGGUAUGUAAAGCUCUAUCAGCAGGGAAGAAAAUGACGGUACCUGACUAAGAAGCCCCGGCUAACUACGUGCCAGCAGCCGCGGUAAUACGUAGGGGGCAAGCGUUAUCCGGAUUUACUGGGUGUAAAGGGAGCGUAGACGGUCCUGCAAGCCAGAUGUGAAAGCCCGGGGCUCAACCCCGGGACUGCAUUUGGAACUGUAAGGCUAGAGUGUCGGAGAGGCAG
rnacentral:rRNA from 1 species